rnacentral:tRNA from 1 species
GGAGAGGUGGCCGAGUGGUCGAAGGCGGCACAUUGCUAAUGUGUUGUGGGCUUAAACGGCUCACCGCGAGUUCGAAUCUCGCCCUCUCCG